rnacentral:piRNA from 1 species
UGACAUUGACGUAAUACAGUUGUAUGC